ACAUUACAACUAGCCUAACCAUCGUAUAAACACAACCCUAUCAAUUAUACUUAUACAUUUAUUAUUAAAUUAAAACAUUUUAUACCUUUUAGUAUGGGUGACAGAA
rnacentral:rRNA from 1 species